rnacentral:rRNA from 1 species
CAGUAGCGCGGUAAUACGUAGGGUGCAAGCGUUAUCCGGAAUUAUUGGGCGUAAAGAGCUCGUAGGCGGUUUGUCGCGUCUGCUGUGAAAACUGGAGGCUCAACCUCCAGCCUGCAGUGGGUACGGGCAGACUAGAGUGCGGUAGGGGAGAUUGGAAUUCCUGGUGUAGCGGUGGAAUGCGCAGAUAUCAGGAGGAACACCGAUGGCGAAGGCAGAUCUCUGGGCCGUAACUGACGCUGAGGAGCGAAAGCGUGGGGAGCGAACAGGAUUAGAUACCCCUGUAGUCCCUGUCUCUUAUACC